AUGCGUAUUUCUAGGGAUGUGACUUUUGAUGAGUCUCGUCCAUUCUACCCGCGACCAUCCUCUUCGCCCUUUUCAGUAGAGGAUAUCUCUUUUCUCAUGUUUCCUGAUACACCUCCCUCUUUGCCUCAUAUUCCUACUCCUCCUUCUCGUCCCACUAUUGCAGAUUCGACACCACCUUCUCCUAUCGUAUCUUCUCCUUCCUUAUUGCAUGACACUCCACCUUCAUCACCGAUGUCUUCUCCAUCUCCAUCACCUCCGAUGGUUCCUUCUCAUCCCACAUUUCCUUUUCAUUAUACCCGUCGUCGACGUGUUAUGUAUGCAUCUACUGACGUGCCAUCUACUUCUGGUGCACCGUCUUCCUCCUCCCAGCCGACUUAUGGUCUUCGAGCUCGACCUUGCCCUCCUCCUGACCGCUAUUCUCCUAGCCGAUAUGGCCUUUUGGUUGUACUUGAGCCUACCUAUUAUCGUGAUGCUGUUGUUCAUCCUGAAUGA
rnacentral:rRNA from 1 species